rnacentral:rRNA from 1 species
GACGAACGCUGGCGGCGUGCUUAACACAUGCAAGUCACGGGGGCUCGCAAGGGCAACCGGCGAACGGGUGCGUAACACGUGAGCAACCUGCCGAUCUGAGGGGGAUAGCCGGCCCAACGGCCGGGUAAUACCGCAUACGUUCUCGAGGCCUCAUGGCUUUGGGAAGAAACCUCCGGGGCAGAUCGAGGGGCUCGCGGCCUAUCAGCUAGUUGGCGGUGUAAUGGACCACCAAGGCGACGACGGGUAGCUGGUCUGAGAGGAUGGCCAGCCACAUUGGGACAGAGAGACGGCCCAGACUCCUACGGGAGGCAGCAGUGGGGAAUCUUGCGCAAUGGCCGAAAGGCUGACGCAGCGACGCCGCGUGUGGGAUGAAGCAUUUCGGUGUGUAAACCACUGUUGGCCCGGGAGAACAUCCUCUUUCGAGAGGACUGACGGUACCGGGUGAGGAAGCACCGGCUAACUCCGUGCCAGCA